rnacentral:tRNA from 1 species
GGAGGAGUGGCAGAGUGGUCGAUUGCUCCGGUCUUGAAAACCGGCGUGGGCGCAAGUCCACCGUGGGUUCGAAUCCCACCUCCUCCG